ACGUACAAAUGUAGAGAAAAUUUUAGUCUUUUUUUAUGCCUUUCAUACGCGCCGUUUUUUGCGUAUAUACCAAGCACGACGCGCAACUUGCGGUACUGCUUUGAUGCCCCGUGCCAUAAUCAAGAUGGCUGCUUGUCGAGUCAACGCAUGCCUGCACUGCUCCGUUUCUUCUUUCGAAAAUCGUAAGAGGUCAGUCGCCGCAUGACUCCCUGAGAGAUGAACGAAGGUCCAGCACCCAAGCAAGCAGCACGGCCUUGCACCGAAAGUUGUCUCCAUAAUCAGUGCAGGUAAACAGCGCCUACCGUGGGCCACGGAGAGCAGACGGCGCUUAAUCCACUUCCAGAAGCGAGAACGUCGUCUGCUUCUCACAGCCGCCGCCGUUGUUGUUGCUGUCGUCUGUCGGCGAGAUGCUUCGUUGUUGUUGUGACACGAAACGGUUGUGAGUUCACGUCCAGCGCCACAGCAGCAACAACACGAGUUGCACGGCCGACAUCCAUCUCCGACGGAACUCAUUCCGCAAAUCGAGAGAUUGCAGAAACGCGAGAGCGAAAACACGGUACAACUCGCGCCUUGCAGUCGGGCCGGCACCACGCACGUCAGAAUAGUCGAGCACACGCACGUCAGAAUAGUCGAGCACACGCGCACACCCUUCGCGAGGCUCUCGAAACCAAACACAACUUCUCGGUGUUCUGGCAGAAGCAGACCUUCUGUACACGACAGGUGACGUUCUUUCGCAAAACCGUGACAGGCGAACAGCGAAAGCCGUUCAAAACGUUCAAGCCGAGCGACGGCAAACGGCCGUCUCGCACUGCACAUGUGGCAACAGACGUUCGCGGGGCAAUGCAGACGACGGGCCGCUCGCAGACGAACCGGCGCCUCCACUCGCUUCUGUUUUCUUUCCCCGCAGACUUGGCGGAGCAGUGGACUCCGCGGGCGAAUGUCAUUGGACGAGGUGUUUUCACUCUACGGGGUGCAUGUGUGUGAGUGAGGGCGGAGGUGUGAGGGCGUAAGAUGGGGCAACGGCGCCGCAAUGCCAGGGCUACUGUCCCGCUCUCCCCUGCGACAGAUCUUUCAUGAGGAUAGAGGCACACUGACUUGCCCCGACAAGGGUAACUGUACCCCCCCCCCCCCCCCAACUCCGUACAGAUAUAUAAGCCGAAUACUUUCACCUCCCGACCUCCUCAAGACCCCAAUCCUGCGCAGCGUGAGCCCCACGUAACUUUACCUCCGCUUUCCUCCUCACCCUCGCCAACGCUUACGAAAUACAAGAGUUGGGGAGGGGCGUAAAGCCGCAGCAGCAGCGGGAGCAAGCGGGUGAUGGCGUUUUUUAGUUUUUUUUUUUUCAAUGCGGCUGCCUGCGGUUUUCAUUCACUCCCGCCCCUCUCGCGCUCUCUCAAUCUGUUUGUGGCUUUGCCCACAUACAGGUCUUAGUUUAGCUUUUUCUUUCCCCUUCCUAUCAACCUUCUCCGCUCCGGUAUUUUCUGGGCGGCGGUCUUCGAAGCAUAACUCGCUUAAUGUAUCUACUCCGGAUAAUACAAACACGCGUUUAAUGCGAAUGACAAGCCAGUUACGCCUCGGCUAAACCGCGCGCACCGACUUGGAAAGGUAGAACUGGGGAAAGGGUGGGUCGACUUAUAUCAGGCGGCCGAAAGGAGGUAGUUUCGAUUUUGAGCGCCAGUGCGUCAAAAUCUGCGCAUGUUGAGGGCUGUCCGAACUGCAGCGCUUUCCUCGUGUGUGUGUGUGUGUGUGUGUGUGUGUGUGUGUGUGUGUGUGUGUGUGUGUGUGUGUGUGUGUGUGUGUGUGUGUGUGUGUUAGUAUUUCGCUUUGUGGGGACUACUCAAGGUUGCCAGGAGGCUCUCGCGCUAAACCGGUAUUUGCUUCUGCUUCGGGCAUGAUUCAUUCCGUGAAUGUGUCGCACGUGCGAGGUUGAAGGAUUAUAUGCGUUCCCCAGUGAAAAAUGAUCGCGUAGCUUGUCGGCCGUUUUUAGUUUUCGAGUAAGGAAUGGGGGCAUGACACACGUAUGCUUUAAAACGGAAGCCUUACUAAACAAACACCCAAACGAACGGGCGCUUCGCUACGCGUCAUUAGAAGCGGCAAGUCGUAUUUCACUGUCUAAUGUAUAGCUGCAGAAGAGCUUGAAGCGACUUCUUUCAAAGCCAGAUUGAUGCGCCAAAAGCGGUCCUUGAACAAUAUUUAUCUACGAAAGAAAACUCGCGGGAAGUCGAGCAAAACCUCGCGGAUGUUUCCUAAAAAUGCCAUUUUGCGCGUGAGCUUAUGAGAAAUGCUCCCGAACGCUGUUACCACCAAUUGCUCCUAUUUAUUAUUUUUCAAUUUCUUUGCUAGACAGCAUUGUGUUCGUGUAUCUGUACGUCACGAGAUCUAUAGCGUGCACACCGAAGUCCUGAAUAGCAUGCUUACCGCUAUAUCCUUGAAACGUAUACAGUGCAACACCUGCUUGUUCUACCAGCGGUAAUUUAUGAGACUUAAGUUUGGAGGAUGGCAAGUAAGCUUGACAAGCUAUAGUGACCGCUAACGAGCGAUGGAGCGGCGAACGGUAUAUAGACCAGAACACGCUAGUCUCGCACCCAGACUAACCGAACGCAUACUCUCGCAGCCGGGUUGCCCGGUCGACCGGCGCCGUUUUGUACUAGGCUGCCAAAGUGUGUUCGCCGGCGAACAGUAGACAUGGCAAGCGCCAGCUCUAGGGCUCCAAAGUGCGGAAAUGUGCCCGUUCACACGGAUCCAAAGUACAAGAAGUCAUCUGGGCAUCAUUGCGUCGUGUUUGGAUGCCAAAACAACCAGCGGAAAAGGAGCAGGUUGCUUAGCGCUGUUUGCGAAGAGCACAACACACGUAGGGAAUCGUGCCGGUUCAGUGUUUUCAGCCUGCACCGAUUUCCAUCCGCAACGAAGAAUGCCAAGCUGCGCCACCAGUGGAUAGCUGCAGUGAAUAGGAAGAACUACCAACCCAGUGAAAAUGCACGAGUGAGUAUUCAAUCUGUGUAUAUUUUGGUGCCACGUUCAACUUUGCGCCCUACAAACGUAAUAUGUGUAACACGCAGGUUUCCUCCGAGCACUUUCUGGGCAACAAGCCUACAGAGCAGAAUCCCGCGCCGGUGCUUCGCCUUGGCUAUAACAAACAGGCAAGCCUUAUCGUGUUUUCAUUCAGGCA